UUGAACGCUGGCGGCAGGCCUAACACAUGCAAGUCGAGCGGAUGAAGGGAGCUUGCUCCUGGAUUCAGCGGCGGACGGGUGAGUAAUGCCUAGGAAUCUGCCUGGUAGUGGGGGAUAACGUCCGGAAACGGGCGCUAAUACCGCAUACGUCCUGAGGGAGAAAGUGGGGGAUCUUCGGACCUCACGCUAUCAGAUGAGCCUAGGUCGGAUUAGCUAGUUGGUGGGGUAAAGGCCUACCAAGGCGACGAUCCGUAACUGGUCUGAGAGGAUGAUCAGUCACACUGGAACUGAGACACGGUCCAGACUCCUACGGGAGGCAGCAGUGGGGAAUAUUGGACAAUGGGCGAAAGCCUGAUCCAGCCAUGCCGCGUGUGUGAAGAAGGUCAUCGGAUUGUAAAGCACUUUAAGUCGGGAGGAAGGGCAGUAAGUUAAUACCUUGCUGUUUUGACGUUACCAACAGAAUAAGCACCGGCUAACUUCGUG
rnacentral:rRNA from 1 species